CACAUGCAAGUCGAACGGUGAACAUGAAAGACUUGCUCUUUUGAUGACGAGUGGCGGACGGGUGAGUAACACGUGGGAAUCUACCGAGUAGCGGGGGAUAGCCCGGAGAAAUCCGGAUUAAUACCGCAUAAGCACUACGGUGUAAAGGGGGCCUCUUCUUGAAAGCUUCCACUAUUCGAUGAGCCUGCGUCAGAUUAGCUAGUUGGUGGGGUAAUGGCCUACCAAGGCGACGAUCUGUAGCUGGUCUGAGAGGAUGAUCAGCCACACUGGGACUGAGACACGGCCCAGACUCCUACGGGAGGCAGCAGUGGGGAAUAUUGGACAAUGGGGGCAACCCUGAUCCAGCAAUACCGCGUGUGUGAAGAAGGCCUUCGGGUUGUAAAGCACUUUCAGCGAGGAGGAAAAGCUAGUAGUUAAUACCUGCUGGCCUUUGACGUUACUCGCAGAAGAAGCACCGGCUAACUCCGUGCCAGCAGCCGCGGUAAUACGGAGGGUGCCAAGCGUUAAUCGGAAUUACUGGGCGUAAAGCGCGCGUAGGCGGAUGAUUAAGUCAGAUGUGAAAGCCCAGGGCUUAACCUUGGAACUGCAUUUGAUACUGGUCAUCUAGAGUACAGAAGAGGGGGGUGGAAUUCCAGGUGUAGCGGUGAAAUGCGUAGAUAUCUGGAGGAACAUCAGUGGCGAAGGCGACCCCCUGGUCUGAUACUGACGCUGAGGUGCGAAAGCGUGGGUAGCGAACAGGAUUAGAUACCCUGGUAGUCCACGCCGUAAACGAUGUCUAUUAGCUGUUGGGUAUAUUAAGAUACUUAGUGGCGCAGCUAACGCUUUAAAUAGACCGCCUGGGGAGUACGGCCGCAAGGUUAAAACUCAAAUGAAUUGACGGGGGCCCGCACAAGCGGUGGAGCAUGUGGUUUAAUUCGAUGCAACGCGAAGAACCUUACCAGGUCUUGACAUCCAGAGAACUUUCCAGAGAUGGAUUGGUGCCUUCGGGAACUCUGUGAACAGGUGCUGCAUGGCUUGUCGUCAGCUUCGUGUCGUGAAGAUGUUUGGGGUUAAGUCCCGUAACGAGCGCAACCCCUUGUCCUUAGUUGCUAACAUUUAAGUUGAGAACUCUAAGGAGACUGGCCGGUGACAAACCGGAGGGAAGGUGGGGGACGACGUUCAAGUCAUCAUGGCCCUUACGACCUGGGCUCCACACGUGCUACAUGGGGCAGUCAGAA
rnacentral:rRNA from 1 species